UAGGGAGGAAAGAAACCAACAGGGAUUGCCCUAGUAACGGCGAGUGAAGCGGCAACAGCUCAAAUUUGAAAUCUGGCGUCUUCGGCGUCCGAGUUGUAAUUUGCAGAGGGCGCUUUGGCAUUGGCAGCGGUCCAAGUUCCUUGGAACAGGACGUCACAGAGGGUGAGAAUCCCGUACGUGGUCGCUAGCCUCUACCGUGUAAAGCCCCUUCGACGAGUCGAGUUGUUUGGGAAUGCAGCUCUAAAUGGGAGGUAAAUUUCUUCUAAAGCUAAAUACUGGCCAGAGACCGAUAGCGCACAAGUAGAGUGAUCGAAAGAUGAAAAGCACUUUGGAAAGAGAGUUAAAAAGCACGUGAAAUUGUUGAAAGGGAAGCGCUUGCAGCCAGACUUGCCUGUAGUUGCUCAUCCGGGUUUCUACCCGGUGCACUCUUCUAUAGGCAGGCCAGCAUCAGUUUGGGCGGUUGGAUAAAGGUCUCUGUCAUGUACCUCCUCUCGGGGAGAACUUAUAGGGGAGACGACAUGCAACCAGCCCGGACUGAGGUCCGCGCAUCUGCUAGGAUGCUGGCGUAAUGGCUGUAAGCGGCCCGUCUUGAAACACGGACCAAGGAGUCUAACAUCUAUGCGAGUGUUUGGGUGUCAAGCCCGAACGCGUAAUGAAAGUGAACGGAGGUGGGAACCUUUCGGGGUGCACCAUCGACCGAUCCUGAUGUCUUCGGAUGGAUUUGAGUAAGAGCAUAGCUGUUGGGACCCGAAAGAUGGUGAACUAUGCUUGAAUAGGGUGAAGCCAGAGGAAACUCUGGUGGAGGCUCGCAGCGGUUCUGACGUGCAAAUCGAUCGUCAAAUUUGGGGCAUAGGGGGCGAAAAGAA
rnacentral:rRNA from 1 species